rnacentral:rRNA from 1 species
AACGAACGCUGGCGGCAUGCCUAACACAUGCAAGUCGAACGGAUCCUUCGGGAUUAGUGGCGGACGGGUGAGUAACGCGUGGGAACAUACCCAAAGGUACGGAAUAGCCUCGGGAAACGGGGAGUAAUACCGUAUGUGCUCGAAAGAGGAAAGAUUUAUCGCCUUUGGAUUGGCCCGCGUUGGAUUAGGUAGUUGGUGGGGUAAUGGCCUACCAAGCCGACGAUCCAUAGCUGGUUUGAGAGGAUGAUCAGCCACACUGGGACUGAGACACGGCCCAGACUCCUACGGGAGGCAGCAGUGGGGAAUCUUAGACAAUGGGGGAAACCCUGAUCUAGCCAUGCCGCGUGAUCGAUGAAGGCCUUAGGGUUGUAAAGAUCUUUCAGGUGGGAAGAUAAUGACUGUACCACCAGAAGAAGCCCCGGCUAACUCCGUGCCAGCCGCCGCCGUAA